UGGGCCGUUUUCUGGGGCCUGUCGCCGACCGCCGCUUGCCGCCCACCGGCACCGUGGGCGCGGAGACCGCGGCUUCUCUGCUUGGUGCCUACGCUGCCCGGGUUUCCGCUUUCUAGAGCUCUCGGCUAGCGCAACAAAUGAACAGCUCCUUCCCCAUACGUUCGCUUCUCAUUACCUUAAAAUUCCUCUUAAGAGUGGAGAGACCACUCUCAGAGUGUUCAGACUUUCUGCUGCCAUCAAAUCAGAGGAAGCAAGCUGCAGAGCCCUGGGCUCACCCAUAGGAGGGACCCCCAAACUGACCAAGGCUGAACCUCUCUCCAGCUGUGGCAAGUGGAGAUGCACAAACGGAAAAAUAAAGAAAUGAAGUACUUCCCAUACCAGCACUGUAGAAGAAUUCACAUGGUCCAAGUCAGGGUAAUUGU